GAACUUUCCAGAGAUGGAUUGGUGCCUUCGGGAACUGUGAGACAGGUGCUGCAUGGCUGUCGUCAGCUCGUGUUGUGAAAUGUUGGGUUAAGUCCCGCAACGAGCGCAACCCUUAUCCUUUGUUGCCAGCGAUUAGGUCGGGAACUCAAAGGAGACUGCCAGUGAUAAACUGGAGGAAGGUGGGGAUGACGUCAAGUCAUCAUGGCCCUUACGACCAGGGCUACACACGUGCUACAAUGGCGCAUACAAAGAGAAGCGACCUCGCGAGAGCAAGCGGACCUCAUAAAGUGCGUCGUAGUCCGGAUUGGAGUCUGCAACUCGACUCCAUGAAGUCGGAAUCGCUAGUAAUCGUGGAUCAGAAUGCCACGGUGAAUACGUUCCCGGGCCUUGUACACACCGCCCGUCACACCAUGGGAGUGGGUUGCAAAAGAAGUAGGUAGCUUAACCUUCGGGAGGGCGCUUACCACUUUGUGAUUCAUGACUGGGGUGAAGUCGUAACAAGGUAACCGUAGGGGAACCUGC
rnacentral:rRNA from 10 species